rnacentral:lncRNA from 1 species
GCAACGCGCUAGGGUCACUUUUGAGAUCAAGAAAGCUUUGUUCUUUUGCUGUUUAUAAUAAAACCUGUUGCUGCUCGCUCUUUUGGGUUCUGACUGCGUUUAUGAGCUGUAACACUUACCACAAAGGUGUGUAGGUUCACUCCUGAAGCCUGUGAGACCACGAAUCCACCGGGAGGAACGAACAACUCCAGAUGUGGUGCCUUAAGAGCUAUAACACUCACUGUGAAGGUCUGCAGCUUUGCUCCUGAGCUAGCUAGACCACGAACCCACCAGCAGGAAAAAACUCCGAACACAUUUGAGCAUCAGAAGGAACAAACUCUGGACACGCCGCCUUUAAGAACUGUGAUAUUCACUGCGACAGUCCGCGGCUUCAUUCUUGAAGUCAGACCAAGAACCCACCAAUUCCGGACAUAGGAAUACUAGCAGGGACUUUCUGGACAUUCGGCUCGGAGUUGGUUAGUUGUUCAGGAUGGUUCAAAGGUGUAAACUGUGAUCCUCUUCCUUGAGUGAGAUGGAAAAAAAUUAAUUUGCCGCAUCAGUGUCCAUAUCUCAGACCCUGGAGAGAUCAUAAAAGCAUGCAAAAACUUUAGCAGAAUUGACGUGUGG